CCUACGGGCGGCAGCAGUGAGGAAUAUUGGUCAAUGGACGAGAGUCUGAACCAGCCAAGUAGCGUGAAGGAUGACUGCCCUAUGGGUUGUAAACUUCUUUUAUAUGGGAAUAAAAUGUUCCACGUGUGUGCUUUUGUAUGUACCCUAUGAAUAAGCAUCGGCUAACUCCGUGCCAGCAGCCGCGGUAAUACGGAGGAACCGAGCGUUAUCCGGAUUUAUUGGGUUUAAAGGGAGCGUAGGUGGAGUGUUAAGUCAGUUGUGAAAGUUUGCGGCUCAACCGAAAAAUUGCAGUUGAUACUGGCAGUCUAGAGUACAGUAGAGGUGGGCGGAAUUCGUGGUGUAGCGGUGAAAUGCUUAGAUAUCACGAAGAACUCCGAUUGCGAAGGCAGCUCACUGGACAGCAACUGACACUGAGGCUCGAAAGUGUGGGUAUCAAACAGGAUUAGAUACCCUGGUAGUC
rnacentral:rRNA from 1 species